GGCGGCGUGCCUAACACAUGCAAGUCGCACGAGAAAGGGGAGCAAUACCUGAGUACAAUGGCGCACGGGUGAGUAACACGUGAAUCAUCUACCUUUGAGUGGGGAAUAACUGGGAGAAAUCUCAGCUAAUACCGCAUAAUACCUACGGGUCAAAGCAGCAAUGCGCUUGAAGAGGAGUUCGCGGCAGAUUAGUUAGUUGGCGGGGUAAUGGCCCACCAAGACGAUGAUCUGUAUCCGGCCUGAGAGGGCGCACGGACACACUGGAACUGAAACACGGUCCAGACUCCUACGGGAGGCAGCAGUGGGGAAUUUUGCGCAAUGGGGGAAACCCUGACGCAGCAACGCCGCGUGGAGGAUGAAAUCCCUUGGGAUGUAAACUCCUUUCGAUAGGGAAGAUUAUGACGGUACCAAUAGAAGAAGGCCGG
rnacentral:rRNA from 1 species